AUUUUGCUGGAGUUUCCUCUGUACCUGAGGCCUUCUGAAGGUUGUGAAAAAUGGGACUUCGGUAACAAUGACGGAUUGGCCUACCUCAGUUUUGGCUAUGAGAGUAACAGAUUUUUUUUUUCUUAUGUUCAGAUAGAAUGUGAGUGUUCCAAACUGUUCCCAGUAACUGCAGACCAGUUGGGUGGAGGCAUAUAGAGCUGCCAAAUGUAUCAACCUCUUUUCAGCCUCAGCUGAAAGAACUCCUGUUAUAUACAUGAUUUAUUUCAGUGAUAAUUUACUUCUGCUACACACACAAAGUACCUUUAUGUGGUCCUGUUGAUAUCUAAUAACCAGCUUUAGAAUUUGCUUUAGAAUUUGGUAGCAACUGAUGUUUCCCUUUUAAAAUACAUUUAAUCUAUUAAUACAAGAUAUGUUUUAGUAAUUAAUUUAAUCUAACUAUAUCCUGUUAUCUUUAUUACAGUAAUUACAAUGUCUGAUGACCAGAAUAAAUCACUGCAAUAAAGUAAUCUUCAAUUCUAAAAUUGUGAUGAGGAAAGAAACGGCAUUGUUCAGCCUAACUGGAGUAACUCCUUUUCAACACAGGAGGGGGGUACUCUUUGUUAUAGGAACUACAUGUGUGGUAACUCUUUAGAAGAGCUAUUAAAUGGAAAAUCAUUAAAACAUUAUCAAGUG
rnacentral:lncRNA from 1 species